rnacentral:lncRNA from 1 species
UCUUGAUCAGGCUUGAGUUCUAGAAAAUUCAUGGUGGCUGCACUGAAAGAGUGACACAGAAAGGAGUGAAACUAUUUGUAAAAUUCAGUGGGAAGGCUUUUAGUGGCCUGGGUGAGACUGAUGGUGAUACGCACAGAAUGAGAAGAAUUAUGCCAGAUUUGAUUUUUUUUUUUUUUUUAAUAUUAAUAGGAACUCUCAAAGAGACAGAAAUGACCUCUAAGAAGCUCUGUUAAAGGUGGGGAAUUUUUUGGCUCCUGUAACCAAAUCAUGGAAAUGCAAGGAAGCCGCUGGCCCUGCCACAGCUGGUUUGGGGAAUGGCAUCCUGCCAUCUCUUUCUAUUUUUAUUCUUAUCUCUGGAAGUUAGCUGUUCACUCUUUCAGGCCUGGUUACAUGACCUGUUGGUGGCUCUGAAAUCAUGUCUUUGCAGUGUCUGAUGAAACCAAGGAGUCCUGCUCUCUGUGAUUCAGAACAGCUUCAAAAUGUAGGGGCCCAGGAAAACCUGUUAUUGGCCAGGCUUGGAUCAUAUGCUUACACCUGGGUUCAUCUCUGGAUGCAACGGGAGAAGUACUGUGUCUAAGGGAUGUGCUCUCAUCAGUGGUUAAGGAGGCUUUGGUGACAGUACGAAUGGGCAGCAAAAUGCCAAAUGCAAGUGGCCAGAGGAAGAGCAGCAACCUGGACAUUCAACUUCUGGAAAAAUGAAAAUUCACUAGAGUCUCCUCUCAUUUCAGAGAGCAGAAGCUGCCUGGUUUCUAAACUUGGAAGUUCUGAGUCUCAAAUGCCAGGUAUCAGGAAUAAUCCCCAGCAGAUGUGGAAGAGAGAGACCAGAUUCCUGUCUGCAUUUCAUUUAGAAGCUGGUGUUCUCUCCAGGUAGGAUUCUCCAACCUUAGCCCAAAAUAUCUUCCAAAAAAUUUAAAUGAUGAAUUUCUACAUUAUCACUUACAGAAAAUAAUUCAAAGAAAUGUAAUUACAUUUCCUUCUCCCUCCCCCUUUAUUCUGUGAGAUUUGGACUAAAUUGAGGCAAAAAGAUGAGCAGAGGGAAAAAUAAAUGUGAGCCAAGUGACUUCA